UGGUUGACCUCGGAUCAGGUAGGAAUACCCGCUGAACUUAAGCAUAUCAAUAAGCGGAGGAAAAGAAACCAACAGGGAUUCCCCUAGUAACGGCGAGCGAAAAUCGUCGACCUGCAGGCAUGCAAGCUUGGCACUGGCCGUCGUUUUACAACGUCGUGACUGGGAAAACCCUGGCGUUACCCAACUUAAUCGCCUUGCAGCACAUCCCCCUUUCGCCAGCUGGCGUAA
rnacentral:rRNA from 1 species